UUAUUCGGCCUACAAAACUCGGCAGUUGGAUAUAAGUAACUCGAGAGUCUUAUUGUGCUUACCGAUUUGAUUUCGUAAAAAUAUUUACGCCUGACGGUACUGGCGACGGCAAUCAGGCAAGCAUCGGUGAAGUGAUGAAAAGCGAGUUGAUAUGACGAUACAUUCGCGUUUAGACAGCUGCAACAAGUGUGAGCUCAAUAUAACGUCUGGACGAAUGAUGUGAGAACUAGCUCUGCAGUAAGGAACAUUUGCAAUAAAAAUGGAUGAAUCUUCGUCGGAAGAUGAUUCUUGAAUGGGUUGCACGUUGAACAAUUGACGUAAGAAAAGCAUUUGGUACACUGGCAACGGUCGUAGGUUACAUAAAAUAGAGGGAUUACACCAUACACCGUAUUCUGAAAAUGUGUCUGGCACUUCUACGCCCACGAAAACUUAAGCUAUAUGUUGAACUAUGAUAAUGACUAUCUGAUAUUGUAUUUAUCAUAUUCUGUUCAAGACAAUGUAUAGUGCAGAUCUAUUUCCUCAGAUGAAACCUAGAUUUCAUGCGUAAUUUCGAAUCAUGUUGUUGUAAUCUUGUUUCUCUGUCGCUUCAAUCCCAUUUGUCAACUUGUUAAAUUAUUACACACUGACACAUCAACACUUGUACUAAGUGCGAGAGAAAU